rnacentral:rRNA from 1 species
AGUGAACGCUGGCGGCGUGCUUAACACAUGCAAGUCGAACGAGAACGGAUUAUAGCUUGCUAUAAUUGUCAGCUAAGUGGCGCACGGGUGAGUAAUGUAUAGGUAAUAUGCCUCUUACUAAGGGAUAACAAAUGGAAACGUUUGCUAAUACCUUAUACUCCUUAUUAACAUAAGUUAAUAAGGGAAAGAUUUAUUGGUAAGAGAUUAGCCUGUAUUGUAUCAGUUAGUUGGUGGGGUAAUGGCUUACCAAGAAUAUGACACAUAACUCGUUUGAGAGGAUGAUCAGUCACACUGGAAGUGGGACACGGUACAGAAUCGUAAGGGACACAGCAGUGGGGAAUAUUGCACAAAGGACGAAAGUCUGCUGCAGCAACGCCGCGUUGAGGAUGACACAUUUCGGUGCGUAAACUCCUUUUAUAUGAGAAGAUAAUGACGGUAUUAUAUGAAUAAGCACCGGCUAACUCCGUGCCAGCAGCCGCGGUAACAC